CAAUAGAUACCCGGGUAGUCCUAGCCGUAAACGAUACUCGCUAGGUGUCGGCCACGGUGCGACCGUUGUCGGUGCCGUAGGGAAGCCGUGAAGCGAGCCACCUGGGAAGUACGGCCGCAAGGCUGAAACUUAAAGGAAUUGGCGGGGGAGCACCACAACGGGUGGAGCUUGCGGUUUAAUUGGAUUCAACGCCGGAAAUCUUACCGGGACCGACAGCAAUAUGAAGGCCAGGCUGAAGACUUUGCCGGAUUGGCUGAGAGGUGGUGCAUGGCCGUCGUCAGUUCGUACUGUGAAGCAUCCUGUUAAGUCAGGCAACGAGCGAGACCCACGCCCACAGUUGCCAGCGUACUCUCCGGAGUGACGGGUACACUGUGGGGACCGCCGCUGCUAAAGCGGAGGAAGGAAUGGGCAACGGUAGGUCAGUAUGCCCCGAAUAUCCCGGGCUACACGCGAGCUACAAUGGUUGGUGCAAUGGGUAUCUACCCCGAAAGGGGAUGGAAAUCUCCUAAAGCCAAUCUUAGUUCGGAUUGAGGCUGCAACUCGCCCUC
rnacentral:rRNA from 1 species